ACUAGUGGUGCAGACACCUACCCUUGGCGUAGUUGCAAACCCGGGGGGAGCCCAAGCAGGGGUCAUUACACAAGCUCGUGAAGAGCAUAACUCGGUCAUAAAAAAACGGUCAUCUGCAAAAACCGACAGGGUCGGCCCCUUCGCACACUCAAGAUCCCCUGCCCCACCCAGCAGCCCGUACAACUACGUACGUGAUAAUGUCUACACCGCCACCCCUAGGUCCUGGUCCCGCUCCCAAAUGGACCCACAACUAAUACCAGUCAACACACGAGGCGUGCACCGCUCAAAGCAUCAAAACCAUCCCAGGAGGCAAAUCACCCACCGACUCCAGUUGUCAUGAAGAUUUCUCACCAUGUGGGCCCCAUGGGAGGACACCCUACGUAGACUAUAUCGAACAAAACUUAUGUGUACCGUUGGAUCCUCGACAACCUCGUGGAGGGAAUGAGGAGAUCUUCCGCUACAAGGACCACAGUGCAACGUGGGGGGAUAUUGCUACUUUGAAGGAUGAGACUGAGGUCGACGUUGCGGUAGUGGAUGCUUGGGCGUGCGUGCUAAAUUACCAAGAGCUGACCAAAGGCCCUGAGUUCCUAACAGGCUCUUUGCGUCCACUAUGAAAAUUGUAAGUUCUCUCUGCGAAAACGUCUUCACUACUUAUUCCAACUGUGCCAUUUAGUAACAUCCUUUGGGCACAAUUGAUAGAGCUUCAAUUUGUGGAGAACCACACAGCUCUCUAUUCCGUUCGCCUAGGGUGGUUCACUAAAGGACUAGAAGCGGACUUCAGAAACUCACCGCACGAUACUUGGCGCGGGAUUCACAUGGUAAGUCUUUCUUGACAUCUUUGCCCACCUAUCGACGCCUACAGCUGCUCAUCGCACGGUGGCAUUUUCACACACGCCAACACGCACAACCCCACCCCUCCAAAUGAGGUCUAAUCUUAUCAAAAUUGGUAGUAUUCCCAAUUCUGCAAUAAGCGUGUUUCUGCAUGAUCAGUGUCGACACGGUUGCGAAGAAGAUAGACAUCAUCGAUAACUCAUCGGCUUCUAAAACAAAAGGAGAGAUGUAUUGCCAAACCCCAGCAAAGUUGAUUUACUCUCUACAUUCUUGGAUGAUAAGCUUGAGACUGAACUAGCAUUACAAAUCAGGGAAGUGAAACCUAAAAGGAUGCAGAUGUCGUGGCGGGAUGCUAAAAACCAAGUAGACUCUGCAGUAUACACUAUGCUUUACAUGGAGUCGUACUGUGGCCUAGGGGUCGCGAACUAGGAUGUAGGUCUGGAGAGAGAGAACUACUGGCAGCUAUGUGUUUUGCGCAAGUAAAUUAUGAGGGAAAUACUGAUCAGUGACAUCACCAUUCACCAAACUAGCAACAUCAAGUGUGCACGAAACUUUGUGAAUGGGCUCACAAGGAAGACGUCUGUACCAUUGAACUAAAUUGCAUUAUGAAUUUUUUGGACAAUGAUGUGAAUCUACAAGUGUAAUAAUUCACGAGCUUAGCACCCUGUACAACCUUCAAAUUCCUAUUUUCUGAUGUGGGGAUUCUUGACGUGUACUUAGACACGGGAUAAUAAAAUAAGGGA